AGAAUCAACGCUGGCGGCGCGCUUAACACAUGCAAGUCGCACGAGAAAGGGAGCAAUCCUAAGUAAAGUGGCGCACGGGUGAGUAACACGUGGAUUAUCUACCUUUUAGUGGGGAAUACCUCUGGGAAACCGGAGACAAUACCGCAUAAGCCUGUAAAGGGAAAGCAGCAAUGCGCUGAAAGAGGAGUCCGCGGCCGAUUAGCUAGUUGGCGGGUAACGGCCCACAAGGCGAAGAUCGGUA
rnacentral:rRNA from 1 species